AUUGAACGCUGGCGGCAUGCCUUACACAUGCAAGUCGAACGGCAGCACGGACUUCGGUCUGGUGGCGAGUGGCGAACGGGUGAGUAAUACAUCGGAACGUGCCUAGUAGUGGGGGAUAACUACUCGAAAGAGUGGCUAAUACCGCAUGAGAUCUACGGAUGAAAGCAGGGGAUCGCAAGACCUUGUGCUACUAGAGCGGCCGAUGGCAGAUUAGGUAGUUGGUGGGAUAAAAGCUUACCAAGCCAACGAUCUGUAGCUGGUCUGAGAGGAAGGCCCCCCACAAUGGAACUGAGACACGGUCCAU
rnacentral:rRNA from 1 species